GAUUGAAAUUAGCUAUUGAAGAGCAUACACGUCAAAAUGUAUACAAAUCCGUUUGAGAGGAAACACUCCGCGUUGAGGCAGACGCUUGAUCGCCUUAUCCGCGGGGAGGGCAGAUUGAGCUUUAGGAAGAAAACGAACUUAUCAAAGACAACCAGUAGUGCAUCAUCUGUGUCGUCUUCGUCCACUGUGUACUCCAACAAUGAGAAGCGCUGAAGGAAUGUGUUGUGAUUUGUUUAGUGAAAAGUUUUGAUACGCUUCGCUUCGAAGCAGUUCCACAUAACUGGUACAUGGAGACAUGAAGGGACAAACUGGGCCAAAUCAACCGUUAUCGGUCGUGGAAUAUAACCGUCUAUGUUAUUAAUUAUCAAGCCAAUAAAAUACGUAUUAG